CCUACGGGAGACAGCAGUGAGGAAUAUUGGUCAAUGGACGAGAGUCUGAACCAGCCAAGUAGCGUGAAGGAUGACUGCCCUAUGGGUUGUAAACUUCUUUUAUACAGGAAUAAAACGAGCCACGUGUGCCUUUUUGCAUGUACCUCAUGAAUAAGGAUCGGCUAAUUCCGUGCCAGCAGCCGCGGUAAUACGGAGGAUCCGAGCGUUAUCCGGAUUUAUUGGGUUUAAAGGGAGCGUAGACGGGUUGUUAAGUCAGUUGUGAAAGUUUGCGGCUCAACCGUAAAAGUGCAAUUGAAACUGGCAGUCUUGAGUACAGUUGAGGUAUGCGGAAUGCGUGGUGUAGCGGUGAAAUGCUUAGAUAUCACGAAGAACCCCGAUUGCGAAGGCAGCUUACUAAACUGUAACUGACAUUGAUGCUCGAAAGUGUGGGUAUCAAACAGGAUUAGAUACCCCAGUAGUC
rnacentral:rRNA from 1 species